UAGAAAAAAGAAAAAUAAUCACCGGCAGCAAAUGCAUGCAAGCACACCAACACACAGACAUAGUGCUUUCUCUAUUUCAGAUCCUAUUUGAUAUAAGCUUGUGUGCCUCCAGUAAAGUAGACCGGGAUAGCCUUCUAGUAAGAGCCUAAGAAUAAAGUGAACCAUAAUUAUGUCUGUAUUCGGCUUCACUUGAAGAUAGGAACCAGAAAAUCUGCCAGAUAUGCGACCUGUCAACUUGUUUAAACUGAAUUGUAUUUAAUGCUAUCAAUACUUUUCUGCUAGUUUUACGAAUUGAUAGAGACAAGCAUGGGACAAUGUUUCGUAGUUCUGUUAUGUCUGCUUAUGUUUUGCAUUGAGUACCGUUGCUUGUUUUUCCUGGGUAAUGUGUACUUUGCAGUAAUUGUGAAAUUGGAUGGAUUUUCAUUGUUAUUGUACCUAAAGAUCAUCUUUUGAUUAUGAGCCUAACAACCGAAUGAAAGCUGUUGUUUGGUUAGAUUAUUUACUCUAAUUUUUUCAUCUUAAAUAGCUAAAAUGUGUUUGGCUGAUUUAGGACUUAUGGGAACAAGAUGGCCGCUAAAAAUUUCAUUCCUUGGCCCAUAGAGAUACAAUUUUGUGAGCCCAAUGCUUCAACCAAUCAGACUAAAUCUCCUCCAAGUUCGAGGUAUUGGUUUAGAGCAAAAGGCUAACUCUCUGAUGAUCAGGCCUUGCAUAGAUGUGUAGUGGCAUAUACUUCGGAUCUGAUAUUUCUUCAAGUAUGAAUCCCCACCAUCGGAAGAAUUUGAAGACAAGUGUUGUUAGUCUGGACCACUGGGCCUGCUUUUAUAAUGGAGCUUAAGCUGUUAUAUGUCUGAAAAAGAUGACCAAAUCAUAUUUUGCUAACAUGGCUCUUGAUUUUAAACGAGAAGCAUGAAGUGAAUUCAGGAUGCACUUUCACCGGCCUCUCAGAGCUGAUGACUGGCUAUUAUUUGUGGUACGUGCCAUAGAGUGUUUAGUUUUCAUGUUUAGUUUUGUUUUGAUGCUUGUGCUUGCAAGUUUGUUUUGGCUUUUUCCCCCAGAUAUACAGUCCCGUUGCCUACAAUGCACGCGGUUUUGUUUCUGGUAAAAUUCUCAAUAGAAAGAGUGAGCAUGUUGCAUCGGCAACUCAAGAGGGCCUAAUUAGGGUGAUUAAAAGUCCAAUUCCACCUGUGACUUCGAAGCUGUGAACUGGUUGAUGCUAGGUCGUGUCAAUGGAGUAUUAUGCUGAACUUUUUGUUAUCCAUCAGGUUUAUGUGCCAAGA